CAGCAGCCACGGGAAUACAGAGGGUGCGAGCGUUAAUCGGAUUUACUGGGCGUAAAGCGUGCGUAGGCGGCUUCUUAAGUCGGAUGUGAAAUCCCUGAGCUUAACUUAGGAAUUGCAUUCGAUACUGGGAAGCUAGAGUAUGGGAGAGGAUGGUAGAAUUCCAGGUGUAGCGGUGUAAUGCGUAGAGAUCUGGAGGAAUACCGAUGGCGAAGGCAGCCAUCUGGCCUAAUACUGACGCUGAGGUACGAAAGCAUGGGGAGCAAACAGGAUUAGAUACCCCAGUAGUCCCUGUCUCUUAUAC
rnacentral:rRNA from 1 species